rnacentral:rRNA from 1 species
GACGGAGGAUGCAAGUGUUAUCCGGAAUCACUGGGCGUAAAGCGUCUGUAGGUGGUUUAAUAAGUCAACUGUUAAAUCUUGAGGCUCAACCUCAAAAUCGCAGUCGAAACUAUUAGGCUAGAGUAUAGUAGGGGUAAAGGGAAUUUCCAGUGGAGCGGUGAAAUGCGUAGAGAUUGGAAAGAACACCGAUGGCGAAGGCACUUUCUGGGCUAUUACUAACACUCAGAGACGAAAGCUAGGGUAGCAAAUGGG